CUGAGGAGCAAGUUUGAGAGCUGGUAUAGGAAAUUCAAAGUCAGACAGGUAGAGCCUGAGUCCUCAGAAGCUGAAAAUCCCCUCAAGCACUCCAGAUCUUCUCACAAGACAGACAGGCAUCACAGUGGAGGGACUUUUCCCAGAAAACCCACAAGUCUCAGCUCCCUGCUGCCAUUUACAAACAGAACAAAGAAACUGGCCAGUCACCCAAGUAGAACCUCAAGUCCUUCCUUGCAGCUGACGACUUCCAAAUGGGCUGUUUCUCAAACUCUCGGUUGCAAGACCUCCCUGGAGACACGCUUACUUCUUGUAAGGCUGUUAAGAGCCAAAAGAAAUGACGAUAAAGGUUCCAGUGGGUAGUUUUGACUUGUUACCAGCCCUUUGUUUUCAGACUCACAAUCACCAAGUUCCUGAUUUCUUUUAAUGAGGCUUUCUCUCACAUGCGUGCUCACACAAAGACACAACCACAGUGGGGAGCAGGGAGAGAGACAUAAAUGAGUGUGUGCAUUGGUCAUGAUAGCACUUGCACAUGUCUCAGGUUGAAGACCAGCCUGGCAGCUAUUGUUUUUAGAACAAAACCUGCAAAGCCUAGCUCAUAUGCAGUUUUGUUAAAAACAAAACAAAAAAACUUUCAAUGAAUAUCAAACGAUCUGCAGGCUGCGGAAACAGGUCGGUUAAAUGCUCACCUUGUUUGAUCUUCAGAACCUUCGUUUAGAAAAAAAAAAAAGUUGGGUGGGGUGGCACACCUGUGAUCCCAGUGCAAGUGAGGUGGAGACAGGUGGCUGUCUGAGGUUCAGUGGCCAGCCAACCUAGCCUAGUAGGUGGGUUCCAGGCCUACACCAAAAUGUAAAAGAUAGAUGAUUUCUGAAAAAUGACACUUGAAGUUUUCCUCUGGCCUCCCAAGCAUGUGUACACAUGACCGAACACAUAUACACACACACACACACACAUCUGGGGAACAGAGGGCAUAAGGAGUGACCUGAAUUGAAUAAUUCCCUCUGUUCGGUUUCCAUCCUAUAGAAAGUCGUGUGCAGAAGGGAAGCAAAGCUUGUGUCACAAGACGGGGCAGGGAUUGGUGUGAAUCUGUUUCAUUCUGUUUAACAGAGGGCAAUGUGUUUGUGAGCCCCUAGACAGCACAAUCUUUAGAUUUAAAAUAGGCUUCCCAAACUGAUGCCUGGCUGCCUUUGUCCCAUAAGAAAGCAUCCCCAAAUAAGCCCUCGGUGAAAAUA
rnacentral:lncRNA from 1 species